rnacentral:rRNA from 1 species
GACGAACGCUGGCGGCGUGCUUAACACAUGCAAGUCGAACGGAAAGGCCCUGCUUUUGUGGGGUGCUCGAGUGGCGAACGGGUGAGUAACACGUGAGUAACCUGCCCUUGACUUUGGGAUAACUUCAGGAAACUGGGGCUAAUUCCGGAUAGGAGCUCCUGCUGCAUGGUGGGGGUUGGAAAGUUUCGGCGGUUGGGGAUGGACUCGCGGCUUAUCAGCUUGUUGGUGGGGUAGUGGCUUACCAAGGCUUUGACGGGUAGCCGGCCUGAGAGGGUGACCGGCCACAUUGGGACUGAGAUACGGCCCAGACUCCUACGGGAGGCAGCAGUGGGGAAUAUUGCACAAUGGGCGGAAGCCUGAUGCAGCAACGCCGCGUGCGGGAUGACGGCCUUCGGGUUGUAAACCGCUUUCGCCUGUGACGAAGCGUGAGUGACGGUAAUGGGUAAAGAAGCACCGGCUAACUACGUGC